UUGCGUUUAGCCGAGUAAGUUGCCUUCUUACCCACCUCCGGUUAAGAUAGCUAGGAGCCAUCCCCGUUUUUUUGGCCUUAGCCUCUUCACGCCAGUAUGGCAUCAGCCGAUUAGCCAGGUCUAGCUGAUAUUGUGCUCUUUGGGCGUCUCGAAUAGCUUCAUUUCUAGCGACUGGGUCAAGCGGCGCACUUGUAUAAUUUCCCAUUCGCGUCCCUAAGCCAGAUUUUUGGAGAUUGGUUAUUAAGCGCUGGUAGUUAUUCUUCAGCGUGACCUGCGUUCGAAUUUUUUCUGGUAGGAAAUUCAAAAGAUGAUCAACGAACGCGUAUUUCGCCGAAUUUCUUCUCCUUAAGGAUUCCUGAAAUAAUGCAUAUCCUUUGCGCAUAUAUUUCAAAGUAUCGUCAAGAUUACAUCGUGACCAGGAUGUGGAAAUAAGCAUGUCGUAUAGUGGU
rnacentral:sRNA from 1 species